rnacentral:rRNA from 1 species
UACUCGAGUGGCGAACGGGUGAGUAACACGUGGGUGAUCUGCCCUGCACUUCGGGAUAAGCUUGGGAAACUGGGUCUAAUACCGGAUAGGAGCCAUCUUUAGUGUGGUGGUUGGAAAGUUUUUUCGGUGUAGGAUGAGCUUGCGGCCUAUCAGCUUGUUGGUGGGGUAAUGGCCUACCAAGGCGGCGACGGGUAGCCGGCCUGAGAGGGUGUACGGCCACAUUGGGACUGAGAUACGGCCCAG